UCUUGAAGCAUUCUGUUCGGUGUCGCGGUGAGCAAUCAUCGUGAAGAAUAGGGAAUCUCGUUAGUUUCUUAGAAAAGGAAUCGAGAACUGUACCCGCAACUGUGUGUCGCACUUGUGCAGAGGGUUUUUCACUGGAAGCACACCAAACUGCUUUUGGGAAGGAAACCCAAUAAACUGCGCGACGAGUCAGGAGACCUGCCGAACACUAACUUGCCGA
rnacentral:ncRNA from 2 species